ensembl:misc_RNA Y_RNA Y RNA
GGCUGGUCCAAUGCAGUGGUGUUUACAACUAAUUGAUCACAAUCAGUUACAGAUUACUUUCUUCCUUCUCCACUCCCACUGCUUCACUUCACCAGCCUAAA